GGCCCCGUAGCUUAAUGGAUAGAGCAUCUGACUACGGAUCAGAAGGUUGGGGGUUCGAGUCUCUCCGGGGUCACCC
rnacentral:tRNA from 1 species